UACCGUUGGACCACAGAUCGGCAGC
rnacentral:piRNA from 1 species